UACGUAGGGUGCAAGCGUUAAUCGGAAUUACUGGGCGUAAAGCGUGCGCAGGCGGUUUUGUAAGUCUGUCGUGAAAUCCCCGGGCUCAACCUGGGAAUUGCGAUGGAGACUGCAAGGCUAGAAUCUGGCAGAGGGGGGUAGAAUUCCACGUGUGAGCAGUGAAAUGCGUAGAGAUGUGGAGGAACACCGAUGGCGAAGGCAGCCCCCUGGGUCAAGAUUGACGCUCAUGCACGAAAGCGUGGGGAGCAAACGAGGAUGACGUAAAC
rnacentral:rRNA from 1 species